rnacentral:rRNA from 1 species
ACUGAGAUACGGCCCAGACUCCUACGGGAGGCAGCAGUGGGGAAUAUUGGGCAAUGGGCGCAAGCCUGACCCAGCAACGCCGCGUGAAGGAAGAAGGCUUUCGGGUUGUAAACUUCUUUUAUGAGGGACGAAGAAUGUGACGGUACCUCAUGAAUAAGCCACGGCUAACUACGUGCCAGCAGCCGCGGUAAUACGUAGGUGGCGAGCGUUAUCCGGAUUUACUGGGUGUAAAGGGCGCGUAGGCGGGGAAGCAAGUCAGAUGUGAAAUCCAUGGGCUCAACCCAUGAACUGCAUUUGAAACUGUUUCUCUUGAGUGCCGGAGAGGUAGACGGAAUUCCUAGUGUAGCGGUGAAAUGCGUAGAUAUUAGGAGGAACACCAGUGGCGAAGGCGGUCUACUGGACGGUAACUGACGCUGAGGCGCGAAAGCGUGGGGAGCAAACAGGAUUAGAUACCCUGGUAGUCCACGCUGUAAACGAUGAAUACUAGGUGUGGGGGGACUGACCCCUUCCGUGCCGCAGUUAACACAAUAAGUAUUCCACCUGGGGAGUACGACCGCAAGGUUGAAACUCAAAGGAAUUGACGGGGGCCCGCACAAGCAGUGGAUUAUGUGGUUUAAUUCGAAGCAACGCGAAGAACCUUACCAGGGCUUGACAUCCAACUAACGAAGUAGAGAUACAUUAGGUGCCCUUCGGGGAAAGUUGAGACAGGUGGUGCAUGGUUGUCGUCAGCUCGUGUCGUGAGAUGUUGGGUUAAGUCCCGCAACGUGCGCAACCCUUGUUGCUAGUUGCUACGCAAGAGCACUCUAGCGAGACUGCCGUUGACAAAAACGGAGGAAGGUGGGGACGACGUCAAAUCAUCAUGCCCCUUAUGUCCUGGGCUACACACGUAAUACAAUGGCGUUUAACAGAGGGAGGCAAAACCGCGAGGUGGAGCAAAUCCCCAAAAAACGUCUCAGUUCGGAUUGCAGGCUGCAACUCGCCUGCAUGAAGUCGGAAUUGCUAGUAAUCGCGGAUCAGCAUGCCGCGGUGAAUACGUUCCCGGGCCUUGUACACACCGCCCGUCACAACCAUGAGAGUCGGGAACACCCGAAGUCCGUAGCUAACAGCAAUGAGAGACGCGGCCGAAGUGGUUCGAUAAUUGG